AUAUUAAAGUUGUUGCAGUUAAAAAGCUCGUAGUUGAACUUCAGGCCUGGCCGGGCGGUCUGCCUAACGGUAUGUACUGUCUGGCUGGGUCUUACCUCUUGGUGAGCCGGCAUGCCCUUCACUGGGUGUGUCGGGGAACCAGGACUUUUACCUUGAGAAAAUUAGAGUGUUCAAAGCAGGCUUAUGCCCGAAUACAUUAGCAUGGAAUAAUAAAAUAGGACGUGCGGUUCUAUUUUGUUGGUUUCUAGAGUCGCCGUAAUGAUUAAUAGGGAUAGUUGGGGGCAUUAGUAUUCCGUUGCUAGAGGUGAAAUCCUUGGAUUUACGGAAGACUAACUAUUGCGAAAGCAUUUGCCAAGGAUGUUUUCAUUAAUCAAGAACGAAGGUUAGGGGAUCGAAAACGAUCAGAUACCGUUGUAGUCUUAACGGUAAACUAUGCCGACUAGGGAUCGGGCGAACUCACUUUGAUGUGUCGCUCGGC
rnacentral:rRNA from 1 species